CAAUCACCUGUUUUAUCUUCAACUGGCAGCUGCCAUAGAAGGCCUUUACCACUAUCAAGUUCCUCUGAGUUGCAUUCCCCAAGGAGGGACAGCAGUUGGGACAGCUACAGUAGCCAUUUCCAACCACCUUUUCGAGGGCAAAGCGUUCUUCCAGAAACAACAACAGACAAUUUUCCACUACUUGACGAAGUUCCAGAAGAGAGUGC